rnacentral:rRNA from 1 species
CCUACGUGAGGCUGCAGUGAGGAAUAUUGGUCAAUGGACGAGAGUCUGAACCAGCCAAGUAGCGUGAAGGAUGACUGCCCUCUGGGUUGUAAACUUCUUUUAUAUGGGAAUAAAACGUUCCACGUGUGGGAUUUUGUAUGUACCAUAUGAAUAAGGAUCGGCUAACUCCGUGCCAGUAGCCGCGAUAAUACGGAGGAUCCGAGCGUUAUCCGGAUUUAUUGGGUUUAAAGGGAGCGUAGGUGGAUUGUUAAGUCAGUUGUGAAAGUUUGCGGCUCAACCGUAAAAUUGAAGUUGAAACUGGCAGUCUGGAGUACAGUAGAGGUGGGCGAAAUUCGUGGUGUAGCGGUGAAAUGCUUAGAUAUCACGAAGAACUCCGAUUGCGAAGGCAGUUCACUGGACUGCAACUGACACUGAGGCUCGAAAGUGUGGGUAUCAAACAGGAUUAGAUACCCGAGUAGUC